AGUGAACGCUGGCGGUAGGCCUAACACAUGCAAGUCGAACGGCAGCACAGUAAGAGCUUGCUCUUACGGGUGGCGAGUGGCGGACGGGUGAGGAAUACAUCGGAUUCUACUUUUUCGUGGGGGAUAACGUAGGGAAACUUACGCUAAUACCUCAUACGACCUACGGGUGAAAGCAGGGGAUCUUCGUACCUUGCCCGUUUUAAUGAGCCGAUGUCGGAUUAGCUAGUUGGCGGGGUAAAGGCCCACCAAGGCGACGAUCCGUAGCUGGUCUGAGAGGAUGAUCAGCCACACUGGAACUGAGACACGGUCCAGACUCCUACGGGAGGCAGCAGUGGGGAAUAUUGGACAAUGGGCGCAAGCCUGAUCCAGCCAUACCGCGUGGGUGAAGAAGGCCUUCGGGUUGUAAAGCCCUUUUGUUGGGAAAGAAAAGCAGCAGGUUAAUACCCCGCUGUUCUGACGGUACCCAAAGAAUAAGCACCGGCUAACUUCGUG
rnacentral:rRNA from 1 species